rnacentral:snRNA from 1 species
GGGUUUGAGUAACAGCUAUGACAUCUGCCACCCAGUUGAUCACCAGGGUUGAUUCAGCAGAUCUAGGUAGGGCUACCUGGUUCUUUCCUUCUCUUCCCCACCUCUCUGUGUAUCUCUCCAGAGGCUUUAUGCUUAAUCAAGGAAGAUAACCUUCUCCCAUGGAGAAGAGCCAUUCUUCUCUCAAUGCGACCUGAGUAGCUGUGCUCUCCUGUUAGAACCAGCUAACAAUCUCUGGGGCUCUAACGUGGCAUCACUGCUUGGUGGGAAAGAUGCCCAUUCAGUUUCUUUACCAUCCUGUUAGCUUCUUCGUGGGGAUUUAAAUG